GUUAAUAACCGACCUAUUCUAUAGGGACCUAACUGUGACAUCAGAAAUAGUUUUAAUUCAAAUUCAGGUCCCUGGUUUUGUCUAUAAAUACCACCACGAAGUUCAAGUUCAAACCAGCUCAAAUUAGAGCAACCCAAGCCUUGAAACUUGGCAUAAACCUUCUCCUCCACCCCCUGAAGCCUCAGCCACCACCCUCAGCCACCAACAAUCACCACAGAGACGGUGGUUAACGGCCAAAAUUCCAGUCACGGCCAAACCUUGCAUAAUCGAGUUCCAGACCAAUUCACCUCCCAAUUCUUGUUCCAUUAGCUUCCUUAAGUCCAUUAGAGUGUGAACCAAUCCAGAACCAAGCUCAAAUUGCCCUGAAAUAGCCCAACCGAGCUCAAGAAGUUCUGAAACUUUGAGCUCUCGGUUCUCCCUCAAAUCUCCAUCAAUUUUGUCGAAUCAAGAGUCUAUCUUGCUUAGAAUUUCACCAGGAAACUAUUAGUGCAAGAAGUUUGAAGCUUGGAGGUCUAGUUUGUGAGCUGCCAUUGUUGACCGGAGAAAGCUUCAUAGAGCUUGUCGUGUUGGCCAAUCCAGAGACCUUCUGAGCUACCCACUUACACCAUUGAGUUCCUGGGAGUGAGAGGAUCCUUUUCCAACCAGUUUCCACCCUCAACUCCACCCUCUCACCGGAGCUCCGCCGCCAACCACCACCUUCUCCGGCGGGAUCACCGGAAAACUUCCCAGAACUUGGAAAAAUUCAUAUUUUCUGAAUCCUUGCACUAUAAGGAGUCCAUACACGCGAUCGGUUUUGAAUUUCACUAAGGUUUGAUACGGUUUCGGAAAAAAAAAAAAAAAAGACGAUAAUCGAUCGGAGGAUUUUUCGAAGAAAGGGACGGAGAUCGAGGAGAAAGAACUAGAAUGAAAAAAAGUGACCAAGGCAGGAAGAGCCGUAAAUAGUUGUGAAUAUACGAGAGUGUUCGAGUAGAAUAAAGACCAGCCGAUGGAAGAAGACGUGUGCGACUGGACUCGUACUCUAUCAGACUGUAAAAUAAGUAUGAAAGCAGUGGGUUUUUUUUUGUAAUUAAGUUUGUCAAAGUUAUCGGGAAAGAUUCAGAGGAGUCCAUGCGAGACUCUGUGACGUCUUGUCUAAGGAAAGGAUCGGAAUUGCUUUUAAUGACGCUUAGCGCGGCUAACUUUCCUGGAGACAUUCUCAGACUAUCAAUUGGACAUCGAUGAAUUCUGACCCAAAGGUCUUGUACUUCUUCAAAGUUCAUCAAUAAAAGUGUUGUUCUCUGAA